AAGUCGUAACAAGGUUUCCGUAGGUGAACCUGCGGAAGGAUCAUUAACACGUAUCCAAACGUUAAAACCCCCCCCCGUGAACCUGAGCCCGGAAAGUUGUAGUGAUUCAGAGACCUCUGGAUACGUGCGAACAUUGGAACAGUUACAAUCGAGCGGUAGUUCUAUAGGCAAUGUUUCCCCAAGCAGUCAGUGUCGGAAAGUGUCAUUGAUUGUGCAAGGAUAGCGCUUCUACGAUUCCUGUAGACCGUACACUCGGGCAGGAGCUUUGCCAAAGGGUCCCCAUGCCCCCUAAUAACCCCACAGUUUAAUGUGAAGCUCAAUGUAAUACAUUGGGUAAAAAAACCGAACAACUGUUAACAAUGGAUAUCUUGGUUCUC
rnacentral:misc_RNA from 1 species